GGAGAGGUGGCAGAGUGGUUGAAUGCACCGGUCUUGAAAACCGGCAAGCCGCAAGGCUUCGUGGGUUCGAAUCCCACCCUCUCUGCCA
rnacentral:tRNA from 1 species